rnacentral:lncRNA from 1 species
CCAGCCUCUGGGGAGAGCCAGGCUCUCUCAUCCUACAGUGAAUCCCAGUGGUCACGCCUUGUGCUCCUGAGAUCCGAGGACAGCAGUGUUUGUCCAGACCCUUCCUCCCCGCCUUGCCCUCCAGGUCGCACCCUGAUUUCUCCAACUUAAUGUGCAGCUCCUCUCAAGCGGCGAAGGGCCCGGGCUCUAGAAAAGCAGCGCCAGCUUUUAAGUGGAGGUUCUCUCGGAUGGCCCUGGAGCAGGGCCGGUUUCUUGAGUUGGGACGCAGGUGAUGCCCUCACCCUUGGGGCAAACGCACUUCCUGACCCUGGGGGUCACCUGGGGGGUACUGCACCCCGUAUGCUUGCAUCUGGCCACCUGCUGCCUCCCUGGUGAGAGGGCCCUGUGAGCCGGGGCAUUGAGCCUGUCUCUGUGAGGCCUGACACAGAGCCAGCUCCAGAAUCUCUCCUGUUGCUGCCGCCACUUCCGUUCAGAGCAUGGCCGAGAGGGGAGAGCGCCUGGCAGCCUUCCCCAGGGUCCCAGGGCUCUGCUUUUCUGGGGAUUGACUGAUCCUCAGGAUAGACACCCUCGUGGCGGCAAAAUGGCUGCUCUAGGCCUCAUAGUCACACACCACACCCCCAG